CAGGCUCUGUUUAAAGCACUUGGCCUCAACAAGAAUGAUUACAAGUUUGGCUUGACCAGGGUUUUCUUCCGCCCUGGGAAGUUUGCAGAGUUUGACCAGAUCAUGAAGUCUGAUCCAGAGCACCUGGCCGAGCUUGUAAAGCGGGUCAAUAAGUGGCUGGUGUGCAGCCGCUGGAAAAAGGUCCAGUGGUGCACACUGUCAGUUAUUAAAUUGAGGAACAAAAUGAGCUU